UCUUAGCCUUUGCUCAGCCUCUUUCAUCUCUUUUGGAUCUUUGUGAAGAUUUAAGUGCUUAGAGACGUGUCAUUAUUCACUCCUUUCUUUCUCUUUCUUUCUCUUUCUUUCUCUUUAGCCUUUUUUGAAUCCGAAGAAGAAUUGAGAUUUAGGUUCAGGCUUCUUCUUCUUCCCCACCUACAAUUUUUUUUUGAUUCUUAUCACUUUACUUUGGUGAAGCUACAAAUCGUUUUCAUUGUUAUCGCAUCCAUUGACUGACUCCUCAUUUGCGUGCACCAAACUUCUAGAUCUGGUUCCAAAGUUUCUCAACUUUAUCCUCUCACUAUUUAUCUUGCUGUAUCGAUUCUUAAAGUGAUUUUCUUUGUUGUUCCAGGCACAAAAAGAUCUGCAGAGAUUUAUAUGCUUCCUUCUCAAUGAGAAUACUUACUCUUUAUCCUUUACUAAUAAUUAUGAUUCAGAUACAAGUCGCCUUGGUCCAGUGGUAAAGGGAAGAUCAUGUCCUAGCAAAUAACGACUCAAGUAUUAGUCGCUAAAGAUAUUAUCGAUCAUCAUGAAUGGAGCUUCCAGCAAAUCCAUAGAGAAAACUCAAGUAUUAGUGCGUUUGUAUCAGCAAGAAGUUUUGUCGCUAGAGACUAUUUUACUUUUCUUUGGUAUACAUUUCUUUAUUUUACAUCUCUUUUGGUUUUUAUAUAUUUAAAUUUUAACUACUUUACUCUUCUAGACAAGAGAAUGGAGAGUUACGAGUUGGUAUCAGGUGAGCAUGACUGAGCAUGCAUCAUUUCUUAGGCGGUGACUCGAUCCAAAGGCUCCAAAGAGGCCGGGCAUAGUUCUUUCUGCAUCGGCCUUAUCUUCGUAAGUUUUGGUUUCUCCUUACGGUACUUGUCUUCAUCAAACGAGUAGGAUACACAACUCUUGCACUUUAAACUAUACUUUGUGAAGUACAAACUAUUCCCCAUCCCUAGAACAUCCAGUCUCGUCUCUAAGGGGUAAAUACUUGAAAGGGUCCUCAAGAUUAGUACAACUCAUCUCCUCACAAGUUUAUACACUAGUGGCUUCUCGUUGCUGCAUGUAUACAUGAGAAAGAGGCCAUUUAAAUUCUCUUUGACAUAUUAAAACAUUCAUCCUUAUGAAUAUAAGGCACCUAUGUUCAGUCCAUGCUUGAUGACUCACUGUGCAGGAAAUUAGAUCUAAUUCAGCUUAAAUACCUCUCAAUUUGAACCAUUAAUAAAAGUGACCAUAGGCAUAGACAAGAUUGCUAUGAAUAUUAGGGUCAAAUCCAUGAGGGUAAGAAAAAUAUGGAUUAAUCCACUCAGUUUCUCCAGGAUAGGAAAUGCUUAUACGAAGAUAUAUCUUGUAAAAUGUCUAAGGCGCUAUUAGCACAAAAGUAGCAGAUGUAGGUGCCGAAGAGAAAGCAAUGGCCUGGAAGUAACGGCUUUAUGCGAUGUCAAAGAUAUAGCGAAAGCACGAAUGUCAUUCAACAACUGUCUUUUUAGACCAUUGAUUUCUAUUUGGCCCUUGCAUCAAGUAUUGGUGCGGUACUAGCGUUAAAACCUUUUACAAGAUUUCUCGUUUGUAUAAGCAUUUGCUAUCCUGGAACAGUUGAGUUGAUUACUCAAGAUUUUUCUUGCUCUUGAAUUUGACAAGAAUGACCAUAGCAACCUUGUAUAUGCAAAUGGUCUCUUUUAUUGCUUUAGCUCGGGAAGUGUUUUAGUUGACAUUCAUCUAGGUUCCUGCAUAGUGACUCAUCAAGGAUGGAGUGAGUGUAGGUGCCCUUUAAUUUAUAAUGAUGAAUGGUUAAUAUGUUGAAGAGAAGUUUACUUGACUAAGUAAACUUGUGAGGAGAAACUGGAGAAAACAGAGGAAGAGAAAGAGAAAGGAUAGCUAUCCAUAUUAUGUCAUAAGUUUACUUGGAAGUUUACUUGACUAAGUAGAAUGGAUAGCUUUUUCUCAUUUAUACAUGUAGCAGUGAGAACCCACUGGUGUGUAAACUUUAAUUUUCUCCUUGAAUUGAGAGGGCAUGAAUAGUACUAGCUACUCUUGACGGGGUGACAAUCUUUGCAAGAAUGUAUUUCUCAGAGACGAGAUUAUAUAUUUUAUGGAUCAAGAACAUUGUGUAUUUCCCAAAGUGUGGCUUUAAGUGCAAGAUUCUUGCAUCCUACUCGUUCGAUGAAGGCAUGUAUCAUGUGAGUUCGCAAACGUUACAAAAAGAUGGCAGAAGUAGAAAGAAACAUGGCCUCUUAGGAGGCUUUCGAUUGAGACAUCUCCUAGUAACGUCUUUGAGUUGACGAAAUAAUCAUAAGCAAACUGAAUCUGAACUGGAGACAGAUCCUGAAGACGAUCACGGAUGAGCCGCAGAGAUUCAUAGAUGAUGGAGGAUGGGGGUUUUUGAAUCUGGACGGAAGUGAUUCAGAAUCUGGGGGCUCUGAGGAGUCAGACAAAGGAUAUGAACCAUCAGAUGUGGAGGUUGAGUCUGAGUCAGAGGAUGAGGCCUCAGAGAGUGAGUCACUGGUGGAGUCAGAGGAUGAAGAAGAGGAGGACUCAGAGCAAGAGUCAGAGGAAGAGAAAGGUAAGACUUGGGAUGAACUGGAGAGAGAAGCUAGUAAUGCAGACAGAGAGCAUGGAGCUGAGUCUGAUAGUGAGGAAGAGAGGAAGAGAAGGAAGAUGAAGGCGUUUUGGAAAUCGGCCCGGAACUAGCGGUGGAGGCGGCAGUAGCAGGAUGAAGAACAUGCCACCAUCAAAGCGCAACAAGCACAGGUGAAAAGGAUCAGACGUCUCGAAAUCUGCUUAUCAUUUGUUCUCAUGGAAUUUAAUUCUAUGCCCUAGGAAAAUAAUUGUUCUCAUUAGAGAUGAAACGAAACCAGAAUAUUUAGUUUAAUUCAUUUUAUUAUAAGAGAUCGCUUUAGAACAUUAUUGAUUCUAUGCCCUAGGAACAUUGUGGCUGCAUUCAACAAGAACGACAUCAUCAUCUCUCCCAUGGAUGAUGACCACAUUACAAUUUGAAUUUUUAUCCCGUACCAUGUCUAGAGACUAAACACAAUUCACUACCUCGUUCUCCUAUCUCCAUGCUGAUGACUAGGCCUGGACAAAAGAACUGUAUCUGAAAACUCAACCUCGGCCUGGACCGGACAAAAGAAACAGGUUUGGGUAGGAUAUGGUUAUAGCUAGCCUUUUUUUAUUGGGUUUUAUAUUCUCGAACCCGUAGGUUUGGGUUCGGAUCCAGGUAUUACCUGAUACUCCAUAUGUAAUACCCAUCAAAAUCCGAACAUAUAAUUAAAUAUACAAAGUAUAAAUGAUAUUUAAGCUUGAUAUAAUCUAAUUACCCAGAAUUAUUAUUCUAAGUCCAAAUGUAUCAAUUAUAAUAUUUUCAUAUUGUAUUUGUUAAAAUUUAGAGAAAUACAAAUUGAAAUUAACUAAAGAUAAAGAUAGGAAACAACAGGGGAAAAUAUGUGGUCUAGCAAAUUUACUAUUUUAUAGGAAUACUUAUGAACUACAUUUUCUUUUCUUUUCUUCUAUUUUUAGAAAAAAUAAUUAUUUAUAUACAACAAUUGAUGAUUGUGUCAUAAGCAUUCCAUCAAAAGAAAGGAGAAGAAACAUAAAGUAAAGCAAAAAUGGUUAAAAGUGUAAAUGUUGUUGGUUUCAUCACUCGUAUGAUGGUUUUUUUGUUGAUUUUAACAGGAAUAUGCGGACAAAAGGUGUGCAGCAGGUACCGAGCCCCUUACGCGCGUGGAACUUGUACAAAUUAUAAACAUGUCAAGUCCACAGAAUGCGAUAAAGCUUGCAAAAAUAUAAUGCAUUUUGAGGGCAGAUGUCAACAUUUUCAGGACAAAGGAGUAAAGAAACUAGGUUGCUACUGUUAUCCAAGUAAAUGCUAGUGACAAUUGCAAACUUCAAAUCCUAUGUGCAACCAUACUAUUUACUAUUACCAUCCAUCAAUAAUAUGUCAUAAUUUUAAUCUGUGGUAUAAAUACAAGAGUUUUAUUCGUUAAUAUUGU